UAGCUCCGCCGAACGGUCGCGCCGUAUGUUGCCGAAAGGUAUUACGGUGAGGAAAGUCCGGGCUUCAAAGGGCAGGAUAGCUGAUAACGUCAGCCGCGGGAGACCGCCGGGAAAGUGCAACAGAAAUAUACCGCCCACGCUUGUGGGUAAGGAUGGAAAGGCGAGGUAAGAGCUCACCCACUUGUACGGUAACGUACAUUUGCUGUAAACCCUAUCCGAAGCAACACCCAAGGAGUGCGUUGGCCCGACGUAUGCGCUCAGGGUGGCACGGCGUACGCGCCGAAGCCUGUCGGUGACGAUAGGCGAAGAUUGAUGACCGUUUAAGACAGAACCCGGCUUACAGACGAAGCUAUCAA
rnacentral:RNase_P_RNA from 1 species